UACAGAGGGGGCAAGCGUUGUUCGGAUUCAUUGGGCGUAAAGGGUGCGUAGGCGGCGCGGUAAGUCGGGUGUGAAAUCUUGGAGCUUAACUCCGAAACUGCAUUCGAUACUGCCGUGCUUGAGGACUGGAGAGGAGACUGGAAUUUACGGUGUAGCGGUGAAAUGCGUAGAUAUCGUAAGGAAGACCAGUGGCGAAGGCGGGUCUCUGGACAGUUCCUGACGCUGAGGCACGAAGGUCAGGGGAGCAAACGGG
rnacentral:rRNA from 1 species